AGUGAACGCUGGCGGUAGGCCUAACACAUGCAAGUCGAACGGCAGCACAGUAAGAGCUUGCUCUUACGGGUGGCGAGGGGCGGACGGGUGAGGAAUACAUCGGAAUCUACUUUGUCGUGGGGGAUAACGUAGGGAAACUUACGCUAAUACCGCAUACGACCUACGGGUGAAAUCAGGGGAUCUUCGGACCUUGCGCGAUUGAAUGAGCCGAUGUCGGAUUAGCUAGUUGGCGAGGUAAAGUCCCACCAAGGCGACGAUCCGUAGCUGGGAUGAGAAGAUGGACGGCCACACGCGAACUGAGACACGGCCCCGACUCCUACGGGAGGCACCAGUAGGGAAUAUUCCACAAUGCGCGAAAGCCUGACCCAGCCAUACCGCCUGAAUCAUGCACGUCUUCGUAUCCUAAACCACCGUUAUUAUAAAAGAACAUCAGCAUCAGUACCCACCCUUAUCCUCACGGUACCUAAUCAGUAAGCCCCCGCUAACUUCGUG
rnacentral:rRNA from 1 species